AUGCACUGGACAAUUUUGAGAUUUUGGGCUGUUUGGCUUUGCAUAACAUGUAAUUUCAGACAAGUGGAAAGAAAAAAUCCAAAGCACACAUUUAAGUGUUUAUUUCAUUCUCUUUGUGUCUGUAGAUUUCAAUUCGUAUCUUUAAAGGCCAGGAGCUUUUUCUCCACUUCAGCCGCAUUUACACACACCAGACUUAAGAGUUUUAUUUCUAUCUGUAUUUUGAAGGUUUUUAUAGAGGGGUUUGUGCAUAUAUCAUUCACCUGGUCUUAUCAUUGCACUUUAUAUAUUUAUUAUUAUUAUUAUUAUUUUUUAUAUAAGACUACAUUGUUUUUUUUUUUUUUUUUAGUUCAUUUUUUAUUUAUUAGUUUUAGUUAUUUUAGUACUUCAAGUUAAACUAAAUAAAAUACCAUAGAGAAACACAAUUAGUUACUUUUUUAUUAAGUAACACAAUAUUGUAAUGUAUUAUUUUUAAAAUUAACUUUCCCCAAGACUGGAUGCUA
ensembl:lncRNA